GAGGGGCAGCAUGAGUACUUGUACUUGAUGGCGACCGGCGCACGGGUGCGUAACGCGUAUGCAACCUACCCAUUACUGGAGGAUAGCCCGGGGAAACUCGGAUUAAUACUCCAUAGUAUACUAGAAUCGCACGGUUUAAGUAUUAAAGAUUUAUUGGUAAUGGAUGGGCAUGCGUGUCAUUAGUUUGUUGGUGAGGUAACGGCUCACCAAGACUACGAUGACUAGGGGGCCUGAGAGGGUGAUCCCCCACACUGGUACUGAUAUACGGACCAGACUCCUACGGGAGGCAGCAGUAGGGAAUAUUGGUCAAUGGGCGAGAGCCUGAACCAGCCAUGCCGCGUGCAGGAAGACGGCCUUCUGGGUUGUAAACUGCUUUUGACAGGGAAGAAAACGGCUAUGCGUAGCUAAUUGACGGUACCUGUAUAAUAAGCACCGGCUAACUCCGUGCCAGCAGCCGCGGUAAUACGGAGGGUGCAAGCGUUGUCCGGAUUUAUUGGGUUUAAAGGGUGCGUAGGUGGCUAUUUAAGUCAGUGGUGAAAUCCCGCAGCUUAACUGUGGAACUGCCAUUGAUACUGGAUAGCUUGAGUAUUGUUGAGGCAGGCGGAAUUUAUGAUGUAGCGGUGAAAUGCAUAGAUAUCAUAAAGAACACCGAUAGCGAAAGCAGCUUGCUAAACGAUAACUGACACUAACGCACGAAAGCGUGGGUAGCGAACAGGAUUAGAUACCCUG
rnacentral:rRNA from 1 species